UACGUAGGGAGCGAGCGUUGUCCGGAUUCAUUGGGCGUAAAGAGCUCGUAGGCGGCUUGGCAAGUCGGGUGUGAAAACUCCAGGCUCAACCUGGAGACGCCACCCGAUACUGCCAUGGCUAGAGUCCGGUAGGGGACCACGGAAUUCCUGGUGUAGCGGUGAAAUGCGCAGAUAUCAGGAGGAACACCGGUGGCGAAGGCGGGUCUCUGGGCCGUUACUGACGCUGAGGAGCGAAAGCGUGGGGAGCGAACAGG
rnacentral:rRNA from 1 species